CCCUGCGCACGAGGCGAAUAAACUGGCUUCAACGGGAGAUGGGCAGAGGCUCUCGAAAGCUUUCCUCCCGCCCCCUCUGCGGUUACACAAAACGGUCAUAACAGAGGCCAGGUCUGUUCUCAAAUACCACGCGCUGGAGGAGGUAGAAGAAUACCCUGUGGGUCCUUGACUGGCUCAGGUGGCUUAGAGAAGGGCAAAACAGACGACAGAAAUCACAUGGAGAAGGAACAGACCUCUUGAGGGGAGGUAAGCACACCGCAUGAUCAUUACAGAAACACAAAACUGAGGACAAAAUCACGGAGCACCAGGGAGCCGGGCUGGCCAUACUGUGCUUUGAGCAGCCUGCGGUACACAUCUGGUUGGAGCCUAGUUUUUUGUUUUUUGUUUUUUUUUUCUGCAGAGCUGCUUAGAAAGCCAGCUGCCAUGUGGUGAGCUGCCUAUGGAGAAGCACACACCUCACUCAGCACACCAGCCCUCGAGGAAUCAAACCCCGGCAACAACCAGGUGAGUCAGUCUGGAAUCAGAUCCUCUCCUACUGAGUCUUCACAGAAGACCUCAGCCUCAGCGGAUGCCGGGACCACAACCUCAUGAGAGACCUUGCACCAGAGGCACCAAGCUAAGCAGCACCCAGAUUCCUGACCCACAGAACCUGAUUCCCAUCAGUCACCGUUCUCUCUGGAAUUACGCCCCUCCUGCAGUGGUCAGCCUGCCUCUGUGGGCUGAGUUUCUGUUUCUGCCUGAGCCUUGUUCUACAAUGGGCCCUGCCCUACUUUCUUCAACUUCCCUGAGAUGCCACCAACACAGGGCCGCUGAAUGGAAGCACAGCAGAGCACAGAAAACAAACAACUUAAAAUUAAAAUUCAAUGUUUCCUGAAAUUAGACUUCUCCAGUUUCUUGGAGAACCACAGCAUGGGGAAGUCCUGACUGUCCUUAGGGUCUUGUGUGCCCCUCCCUAAGUGACCGGCCUAGUCUACCAAACCUUCUCUUCCGUCUUGCCAUUUUUCCUCCAGUCUAAGAAGCCCCAAUCUACUCCCUACUGGGACCUUAAUUUUCCUUAAUACAAAGCAUUUUAACUUGGUUUUGUUUAAACUUCCCCCAUCGAGGUUGAGUGACAGGGAGGAGUGGGGAGGGGUCUCACCUUUUACCACUAAGGAGGCCCCAGGCCCAUUCAUGUGCUCUUUCCUAGAUGUUGUUACCAUCUCCUCAGCUCCACACUGUUCCUAGCCAUUUAAAAUAACAUUUCUAAAUGUUACAUUAGAGUUUAAUAAAAAGAUGUUAAAAAAUUCUAAUAAUAUAUGUAAGAAAAGUUGUGCCCCCCCCCAUCAAAAUCCUGCUGAAUUUGCUAAGAAAUUUUUCAAAGAAAUGGAGUUUUUUCUUAAGACUAGACCAAACACCCAUACUCAUGUAUAAUCCACGUCAAGUACAAUGUAACAGGCUAUUUUUUAUGAUUUUUUACGUUUGAAGCGAUGAGGCCCUCUUUGAGGAUCAUAUCUGAAUGCUCAUUCUAUGGCAUGGCCAAUGAUUGGCAAAUAUAAAGAAGUUAUAGCUCAUAUCAAUAUCAAAGGUCUGACAUUGAUAUGGAACAUUACAAUGUACAACUGCUAUAAAUUAUGCUUCACCUCAGGAAGCAAGAUGAAGAUACACUGAACUUUAGACCUUGGUUCUGAGGAGGAGCUUUAGAAAAACUUACAGAAGAACACAUAUCAUUGGAGAUGACAUUUAAUUGCUUAUUCUCCCCAUAACUGUAAAUAUUUAUAGUCUGUCAUAAAAAUACAUUUCCUUGGAAAGUGUUGGUUCCUGGCUGCGCACUGGGGAAACCUUCCCUCACUGCCUCCCUCCUGGUUGCUAAUUGUAUCCAGUGUUUUCAAAGGGAGGUGGGAGGUCUGGUGAACUGGAUGACCGACAGGAAAAAAGGGAGUUGGGUAGAGGGAGGGUGCUGAUGGAAGAAAUUUUUCACAGGUAGAUUUUUCCAGGCAGGAGAGAGAAUUAAUCCAAGCAAAGAUUAAGUAUGGCAUAGUACACUGGGUUCAACCAAAGACCUGACAUUUGGAGGAGAGGAGCUUCCAGAUCAAAAGUACCUACCCUGACCCCAUGCAGUCAACAGUACACUCAUUAAAGAAUCAAAAGAGCUGUCACCUAAAACUGGGUUGUCCUUUGGAACCCAAGAAAAUCUGUUGGUGGCCCUCUAAGAGAGCAACUCAUGGAAGAAGGGACUUGUUUCCCUUCCCAUCUUGUCAAGGAGUCUGAGUCAGAGUGACAGUACAGAGAAUGGAAUGGGGGCCAGGAGCCCAGUGGCAACUGGGUGAGCUGGGGAACAGAGAUUAGCAGAAUUUCACUGUGGCCAGUGGAGAGGCUUAAGCAAAAUGUGGUUGAGCCACAGUCAAGUUAAAGCUUAAAGCAGAGACUAGAGAAGGUUGGAUGGGCAUUUAGGGACUUCAGAGAUUCAUGCUGGUUGAGGGAGAAGAGGAGAAAUUCCAAAGGGCAUUGAUUUUCUGUGGUUAUAAAGGGAAGAGGGUUAUUAAGCUAGGAAAAGCUGGGAUUGAAGGUAACUAUCAUCUCACUUGU